CCAAAUAUAUGCCAAUGUCAACACAUGUUCAUGUUGAUGAGGUUUACUGAACAAAUUUGAAUCAUCACAACAACCAAAAUGUUAGCAACACAUUAUAAAGUUUAUUAUUAUCACUAUGGUAACCAUGUUUAUGUUUGUUACCUGCUAACUCAAACACAUUCUGUAGGUGUCACAUUUUGAGGACUAUAAUAAAGGAGGAUACUGUGGGUGUUGGAGAGGACCCACUGAAAAAUGUGAGUGCACGAAAGGAUCUCACAGAUGAACAUGUGGCCCCUGACACUCCAGCCACCUCUUCUGCACCAGUCUCACCUCCAGCUGAGGCUCAGACGAACAAAUCAAAGAAGGCUUCCUGGUGGCGCAGAUGGCUUUUUUGUGAGAAAAAGUCAAAGGUUUUUCCCAAAAAUGAAGACAAGGCAGAAGACACAGUCGUGCCACCUUCUGAACCCCAACAGAGUACCAUCAGCACUGAAAAAUGUGAAGUCAAGGACGUUGGUGUCCAGACAGAGGUUUCCUGCCCUCCCAACUCGCUGCUGUUUUUCUGCACGAAAAAGGUGACCUUAGAUGAUGAGCCGCGUUGUCCUGAAGUCAAUGAGAGAGAUGAGCCAGUUUCCAGGUCGUGUACCCCAGCAGGUCACGGUGGUAGCCAGGGGGCCAUGCUAAGAGACCACGUCACACACUGCUGACUAACAUACGAUGAUGAGUUCGUCAAUGAUGAGCAGCGGCAGAGAACAGCUUACCUGCUGUUCUAUGAAAAACAGGUGAUUUCUCCCAUCAAACAGUUGGAUUGUAAAUGGUAAAUGGUAAAUGGCCUGUAUUUGUAUAGUGCUUUACUAGUCCCUAAGGACCCCAAAGCGCUUUACAUCCAUCCAUUCACACACACAUUCACACACUGGUGAUGGCAAGCUACAUUGUAGCCUCAGCCACCCUGGGGCGCACUGACAGAGGCGAGGCUGCCGAACACUGGCGCCACCGGGCCCUCUGACCCUGGAUUGUGUUGGAUACUGUUGUUUAUAUAAGAUUUUAUUGUAAUGUAUAGUAUAUAAGACUUUUAUUUUAUUUGUAUCUUUUUAUGUUUAUGUUGUUUAGUGUACACCGAGGGCCGUGGGAGCGUUGCAAUUACAAAUUCUUGUGUAUGACCUGUCCAUAUGUUUUUUUGACAAAAAGAUGACUUUGAAUUUGAGCAUGUCCGUGCAAAUACUCAGUUUAUGUUCAAACAUGAUUUUGUUCUUUUAAUUUGCUCAAUGACAAAGUUAGGAUUUAGUUUAAGGAAUGGCUGAUUGCAGAUUCCUGUUAGAAAACAAGUGUGUUGCAUUUAUGCAGUGGUUACUAUGGUGGCACUUUAGGUGCAAGUGUUGCAACCACUGUAAAUGUGACACCAUCACCAAAAAAUGUUAUAAAAUCAGAAGAAGAAAGAGAACUCUAAUAUGAUAGCUACACACCAGCUGGACCAUUAUAACAACAUCGCAUCACAUGAGUAACUUCACCAUGACGAGACUUCAAGGACUCCAAGAAUGUUCAUACAGUGAGGAUAAAUCAUGUUUUUUAUUAUUUAUUAUGAAAAAGACACAAUAUAGAUACAUAAAAUGCAGCAGGAGCUGCAACAGCUAACAUGUCAGUUAAUUUGACACGUUGAUUUAUUUAUAAUUUCUUUUUCUCUCUUAGCUUUUCAGCUCCACAUUUUUGCCAUUUCUUCCACACUCAACUCUUUUCUACAAGGUGAGCGCACAGUGAAGGAAGGGGAGGGCUGAUGGCAUUAAGAGAUUUGAUUGGGCAAUCUAGGGGCCAGUUAGUUCUUCCCUUUGGUGAAAGCUGGGCUCUUCAGUUCAGCAUGGUACAGCUCCAAAGAUUCUGCAACAUCAAACCCUCUGUCUGCUAAUAUUACAUCACCUGGGCUGAGGCAGUCCAGGUAACAGUUUCUAUUUUUGUUUUUAAACUUUAGAUAUAAACAAAACAAGAAAAAUAA